UGGGGANUCUUCCGCAAUGGACGAAAGUCUGACGGAGCAACGCCGCGUGAGUGAUGACGGCCUUCGGGUUGCAAAGCUCUGUUAAUCGGGACGAAAGGCCUUCUUGCGAAUAGUUAGAAGGAUUGACGGUACCGGAAUAGAAAGCCACGGCUAACUACGUGCCAGCAGCCGCGGUAAUACGUAGGUGGCAAGCGUUGUCCGGAAUUAUUGGGCGUAAAGCGCGCGCAGGCGGAUUGGUCAGUCUGUCUUAAAAGUUCGGGGCUUAACCCCGUGAUGGGAUGGAAACUGCCAAUCUAGAGUAUCGGAGAGGAAAGUGGAAUUCCUAGUGUAGCGGUGAAAUGCGUAGAUAUUAGGAAGAACACCAGUGGCGAAGGCGACUUUCUGGACGAAAACUGACGCUGAGGCGCGAAAGCCAGGGGAGCGAACGGGAUUAGAUACCCCGGUAGUCCUGGCCGUAAACGAUGGGUACUAGGUGUAGGAGGUAUCGACCCCUUCUGUGCCGGAGUUAACGCAAUAAGUACCCCGCCUGGGGAGUACGACCGCAAGGUUG
rnacentral:rRNA from 1 species